rnacentral:tRNA from 1 species
GCGGGUGUAACUCAGUUGGUAGAGUGGUAGCUUCCCAAGCUGCAAGUCGCGGGUUCGAGUCCCGUCACCCGCUCAA